GAUGAACGCUGGCGGCGUGCUUAAUACAUGCAAGUCGAGCGAACAGACGAGGAGCUUGCUCCUCUGACGUUAGCGGCGGACGGGUGAGUAACACGUGGAUAACCCACCUAUAAGACUGGGAUAACUUCGGGAAACCGGAGCUAAUACCGGAUAAUAUAUUGAACCGCAUGGUUCAAUAGUGAAAGACGGUUUUGCUGUCACUUAUAGAUGGAUCCGCGCCGCAUUAGCUAGUUGGUUAGGUAACGGCUUACCAAGGCAACGAUGCGUAACCGACCUGAGGGGGUGAUCGGGCACACUGGAGCUGAGACACGGACCAGACUCCGACGGAAGGCAGCAGUAGGGAAUCUUCGGCAAUGGGCGAAAGCUUGACGAAGCGACGCCGCGUGGGUGAUGAAGGUCUUCGGAUCGUAAAACUCUGUUAUUAGGGAAGAACAAAUGUGUAAGUGACUAUGCACGUCUUGACGGUACCUAGUCAGGAAGCCACGGCUAACUACGUG
rnacentral:rRNA from 1 species